AUUUAGAGAAAACAGUUUCUCAGUAGAGAUAAAUUACUAUAAAGAAUUUAAUCCUAGUUUUCCCUUCAAGUUGUUUUUUAA
rnacentral:pre_miRNA from 1 species